GCAAUGAGAGCAUUGACUAAGGUCAUUCUAUGACUUAGCAUUACACAUGGAGACACAUACCCUAUAAAGGUGCUCAGAUGAGCAAAAGCUAUUUCCUUAUUGAAUGCGUGAUGAUUCAAAAGGUUUUUGCAAUAAAAUGAAAGAGUGCUUCAAAUUAUAUGGUUGCAUUUCAAGCGCUAUGUGAAGAAACACUAAGUACUAGAAGUACUACAUUAAGAUCAUAUAGAG
rnacentral:lncRNA from 1 species